UACGGGGGGGGCAAGCGUUGUUCGGAAUUACUGGGCGUAAAGGGCUCGUAGGCGGCCAACUAAGUCGGACGUGAAAUCCCCAGGCUCAACCUGGGAACUACGUCCGAUACUGGAUGGCUUGAAUCCGGGAGAGGGAUGCAGAAUUCCAGGUGUAGCGGUGAAAUGCGUAGAUAUCGGGAAGAACACCUAUGGCGAAGGCAGCUCUCUGGGACGGUACUGACGCUGAGACGCGAAAGCGUGGGGAGCGAACAGG
rnacentral:rRNA from 1 species